UCCCGUGGCCAUACCGAGGAGGUCACACCCGUUCCCAUCCCGAACACGGCAGUUAAGCUCCUCAGGGCCGAUGGUACUACGUGGGCAACUGCGUGGGAGAGUAGGACGCCGCGGGAU
rfam:Deltaproteobacteria bacterium RIFCSPLOWO2_02_FTLL_55_12 rifcsplowo2_02_scaffold_543, whole genome shotgun sequence.